AUUUACUAAUGUCUAGUUUUAGAGCUGUGAGCUAUGAGCUGUAAGCAAUGCAAAGUUUUUUCCUAACUUAAAAGUUUGAAAUAUGUAAGAUGUGUGAGUUCUUUGAAAAAAUAGAAAUGACCUAAAUGCCUGAAGUCAAAAUGUAGUGUUGCAUCUACAAAGAAAAGAAAGCAGAAGAAGCAUUCAGUAACUUGAAAAUAGCCUUUCUACUUAUAUGUAGAUGGAGGUGCAGGUUACAUGAAAGCAGUUUUAACACAGGCAUUUGGAGAAAAACAACAUCCGCUUGCAUUUUACUCCUGCAAAUUAGACUCUGUUGCGUCAGGCAUGCCUACGUGUGUGCAAGCCUGUGCAGCUGCAGCAGAGGCAGUAAAAAAGUCAGCUGACAUUGUUUUAGGCCACACUUUGAUCAUCAAAGUACCCCACGCAGUGACUUCAAUUUUACUCCAAGCCAAUUUGUCCUACCUCACGCAUGCAAGACAACUGUCGUAUGUUGGAAUCUUAUUGUCACAAUCACACAUUAGGAUCGAGAAGUGUGGUCAAUUGAACCCGAGCACACUCUUGGCCUCACCCGAAGAUGGUCAUCCACACUGCUGUAUGGAAAGUUCGACAAAGAGUUCGAUUAGUCUGCAGAAACAGGAAAUAUGUGUGCCUGUGGUGUGUCUGUGACAGGAAAUCGUGUGUGUAACAGGAACUACAUGCCCAUAAAAGGAGCUGACUGUGUCAAGGAAGCAGACAGAGAGACACACAGAGUCUAUGUUUUUUCAGCAGUGCACCACUUUGCAAAAAUUUGGCAGAACAGAGGAAUGAUUACAUCUACUGGACACCCAGUACAACAUGGAUAUCUUCUGAAAACACUAUUAGAAGUAAUUACAUUGCCAAAACAGUUAGCAUUAUGUAAAUGUGCUGCACAUCAGAUAAAUCAGAAAUAACUAAAGGCAAUAACUUUGCAGAUCAAGCAGCUAAGUUAGCCGCACAUCAAACUGUAGACACAUUAAUGUCUGCAUCCUCUAUGCAAAUACCACUUGAUGUACUUAAAGAUGAACAAAAGCCGCACCAACUACAGAACAGAAUAAAUGGUUAAAGUGUGGAGCACAACUAGAAAAUGAUCUGAUGGCUUGUGAAGGUAAACCAAUACUUCCUAAGUCCCUGCGCAGAACAGCAGCAUUAGUGACACACGGGGUGACCCAUGUGUCCUCAGGGGGGAUAGUCCAGGUCCUUAAUACACACUUUUAUACUCUAAAUUUUGAAACUCAAAAGGCAAUCUGAGGACAAAAAGAGGACAUUUCUCCACACCACCUCAUCCAUUUCACACCAUUCACAUGGAUUUUAUUGAAUUAAGUGAAAGUCAAGGCUCAAAAUACGCUCCAGUGAUUAUAGAUGUAUUCACAAAAUGGCCAGAGAUUUAUCCAGUGAAAAAAGCAGAUGCAAUCUCAGUUGCAAAAAGUGAACCUUUAGACAAAUCCGUCAGAGAAACAACUCUGGCAGAAUGGAUGGCAAAACUACUAGAAAAUAAGGAUAUUGUUUUGAACAAUAAACUGCCGUAUGGCUCUUCUUCAGUCUCUUGCAGGUUGAAACCAGGCGACUGGGUCCUGUUACGUGUGCUCCAGAGGAAAAAUUGGAGUUUGCCCCGCUGGGAGGGCCCAUACCAAGUGUUAUUGACAACACCCACAGCCUGUAAAAUUGCAGAGAGACCCUCCUGGAUACAUCAGAGCCGGUUUCAGCCCGAACAUGAAGAAAAGCAACAACACGAAACCUCCAGCAGUGAAAAACCUCCCUUUCACAACUCAGAGAAACAGCGAGCAUGACUACUCAGCCCCGAUGGAAACGGCUAAUUCCAGCAGCAACAAGAGGGACAGACUGUUAACAACCCCUGAUAAUACUCCCGAGAAACCACAUAUGGAGAAAAAAGCAAAAGAUUCUGUAUAGCAGCUUUAAUAUAGGGAGAACACAACUUCCAGACUGUGAUACAUCAGAGCCACUGCAAAAAGGUUGAGGUCCGGGGAAGCCCCGACACCAAGGAGGAAGCGCCUACGCUUGGUUGUUUCGGGGGUGAGGGUGGUAAGUGCGUUCUUGGGCCCCCGUCGGGUAAGCCCGCACUCCAAUCUCUAUCCGAUCAACUUUAGGCAGCCAGGUGUAGGUGUGAAGGGGAACCCUCCUGGUUACCUUGACUACAAAAGCUCACCCUUACAGGAUCCCAGCUGAUGCCAACAGCAGCUGAGCUACGUGGCAGACAGAGAAGAUGGAUGUACGACAACUUCCACCUAAUGGACGUGACACAAGAUCACAUCCAUCCUUGGAUGAAAAAUGCCUGAUACAGAUAUGUGUUUAACAGAACCACAGAGAAAGACUGUUACGUCUGCUCGCACAUGCCGAGCAUAUUAACACAACCAUAUAUGGGAAACACCCUGGAACAAGUGCACUAAUUGUGAUCUCCGAUCACACCUUGAGAAUGACUUUUGUAAAGUGCACAACAACAACAACAACAUCAUCAUCCUCAUCCAGGAAGAAACGCUCAACUUCAACAGUCAGACCAUGACUCAAUCUGGGGAACCGACGUACCUGAAGAAUUCAAACUCUGGACAACUGGACAAAAGGUACUCAACUCACUCUUCCUGUGGGCAGGAGUUGGGAAAACGUGCUCUCAGAAGUGAGAUACUGGACUAUAGAUUCAGCUUGUUUCUCAAAACAUCCUGGAAGGUCAACGAGGGACAAAACCAAGAAAUAGACGCUCUCAAAAUUGCUGUAAUGCAACAUCGUGUAGCACUGAACAUGAUCCUGGCUGAGAAAAGAGGAUUGUAUGUCUUAUUCAACACCACAUGCUGCACCUAAAUACCAGAUAAUGUACAUUCUUUAAACAUGCCUUCAGAUGCUAUAGAGACUGUUGAUUGUCGUUGGACUUUUCCUGGUUUUAUUUUGUUUUCUUUAUUUGAGUUAUUCCUUGUUUAAAAGCUGUAAUUUCACAGAUGAUAAGUUUAUCAUUCACAGCAUACGCAGAUGUACUGAAAUCGAUGAAGACUUCUUUUCCUGUUUGUUAGAUAAAGAUGAAGUGUAACUAAUGAUGUAUUAACUGAGAAUGUGAAAGACAAGUAGUUACUUAUUGUACAUUUCAUUUCUCUGAUAAACAGGGCGGAAUGUCAAGGGAAAAUUGUAUAUAUGUGAUCAGCUACAUGAAAUGUAUCCUUUCAUUAAGCACAUGUCUACUUGACUUUUGACCUAGUAACUUGUGAUGAACCUAUUCAGCAAAUAACCGCUUCCUGUUUUCAGAGAACAUUUAGAUGUAGAGAAGUGAAACCUCAGCUCUUUUACAAGAACAUACAGAUGUAGAAAAGGGAAAAACCCGCUGCUCUGAGUGACAUUGUUAUCUUUGUACACACACACACACAGACAGAACUGUAUAAAUAAAGAACGCAGACAGUGAUGAGACGCAGAUCUUGCGUUCCAUGACUGCCCACUUGCGAGUGAAAAACUUC